CUCUACCACACAGGGUCUAUAUCGAAAGAAAACAUGUCCAGUUUUUUGUUUUGUUUUAAGUUUUAACCAUUCUUGCAGCAGAUUCCCCCUAACAUAAGUGACAAGAAAUCACCAAUUUCAUCAAAUCCAGAAGGUGAGCCUUGGAAUGCAAAAGCAUUCCCUUCCCCUGCUUUCCCCAUUGCUGGACUCGUCUUCAACAAACAAUAUACUACCACAUGGUAGAGGUAUGCCAACUCUUACAUAUUUAUCAUGGUUACUUGAUCAUUACAUGAGUUAUAGCUCUGUUUAUAAUGCAAAUAUUAAAAGGCAAAAGUAAAAUUUGAGCUAAGGAAACUAGCAACUCCAUUAUAUUGUGGUAAGUGGCAUGGCAUGCCAAUGCAAGUAUUGUUUGGAUUAUCAGCUGUCUGUUGGAGUUCAUCUAAUGAACUCUCUGAUGUUUUGUUUGAUCAUUACAUGAGUUAUUGCUCUGUUCAGAGAGUUCAUUUUAUGAUGCAGCGCAUCGACUCAUUAAAUCAUUUA